rnacentral:rRNA from 1 species
AUGAGGAAUCUUCCACAAUGGGCGAAAGCCUGAUGGAGCAACGCCGCGUGAAGGAUGAAGGUCUUCGGAUUGUAAACUUCUUUUAUGAGUGAAGAAUAUGACGGUAACUCAUGAAUAAGCACCGGCUAACUACGUGCCAGCAGCCGCGGUCAUACGUAGGGUGCAAGCAUUAUCCGGAGUGACUGGGCGUAAAGAGUUGCGUAGGCGGUUAUGUAAGCGAAUAGUGAAACCUGGUGGCUCAACCACACAGACUAUUAUUCGAACUGCAUAACUCGAGAAUGGUAGAGGUAACUGGAAUUUCUUGUGUAGGAGUGAAAUCCGUAGAUAUAAGAAGGAACACCAAUGGCGUAGGCAGGUUACUGGGCCAUUUCUGACGCUAAGGCACGAAAGCGUGGGGAGCGAACCGGAUUAGAUACCCCAGUAGUCC